GUUAAGAGUCGCAGUUAAGGAACCUAGGUCGUGUAUCCCUCCGCCACUGCUAUUUCCAUGGAGGUAAGAAUAUUCAUACCUCCAUGGCUAUUUCUGCGAUUUCAGCUACUUCUGUGACUUCUGCGAUUUCUGCUACUUCUGCGAUUUCUGCUACUUCGGCGAUUUCUGUGACUUCUGCUACUUCUACGAUUUCUGUGACUCACUACCGUAUGAAAAAGUUACAGCUGUUCGCACAGAAAAUUGCAUCUCAACAAACCUGUCAUUGGUACCUGAACUACAUUUCAGUCACUUAGUAAAGUGAUAACUCAAAAUAUCAUUGUCAGCAGAUCUGGAGAAAUUGCCACUGCGUCUUUAGACCGUUUUCGUCAGACGAGAGACACAGUUCUGACUCUGAUUACUGGUUGCUGUACGUAUCUAUCCACAUCAAGGAUGUUGAGAGAGACUCGUGAAGAUUCAAGACAGCUCUUAGAGGAUUUGCAGUUUAAAAGUGAAAUAAUUGCGAAAUAAGAGUGCAGAUGAGUGAUUAAAUUGUAUUUUAUUGAAGUAGUUGUGCGAUUUUAAAGGAAUAAUAAAUGUUAAAUACAGU